rnacentral:tRNA from 1 species
UGCGCCCGAGAGGAUUCCAACCUCCGACCUACGGAUUCGUAGUCCGCCGCUCUGUCCGCCUGAGCUACGAGCAC